rnacentral:rRNA from 1 species
AGCGAACGCUGGCGGCAGGCCUAACACAUGCAAGUCGAACGAACCUUUCGGGGUUAGUGGCGGACGGGUGAGUAACACGUGGGAACGUGCCUUUAGGUUCGGAAUAACUCAGGGAAACUUGUGCUAAUACCGAAUGUGCCCUUCGGGGGAAAGAUUUAUCGCCUUUAGAGCGGCCCGCGUCUGAUUAGCUAGUUGGUUGAGGUAAUGGCUCACCAAGGCGACGAUCAGUAGCUGGUCUGAGAGGAUGAGCAGCCACAUUAGGACUGAGACACGGCCCAAACUCCUACGGGAGGCAGCAGUGGGGAAUCUUGCGCAAUGGGCGAAAGCCUGACGCAGCCAUGCCGCGUAAAUGAUGAAGGUCUUAGGAUUGUAAAAUUCUUUCACCGGGGACGAUAAUGACGGUACCCGGAGAAGAAGCCCCGGCUAACUUCGUGCCAGCCGCCGCGGUAA